AUCACAGUUUUUAUUCAUAUUUCUCCUUUUUUUUAAUCAUUAUUUUAUUCAGACCUUGGGUAGGUGCGUCGGAGCAUGGCACAGAAGUUUCCUUAUUUUACCACUCCGGACAUGUUCCAGAAUACAGGGAGAAGGUGAAUGAACAGCUUUUUAUUGGACGGCUUUAAAAUACCACGGUUCAUAUUAAAAGUUAAAAGUUAGAGGCAUGGAUCUCGAUUUUACGAAUGAGACAUACAUGGACUCAGAGUGCGUCCGAGCGCUUCAGGACCUGAUGCAGAGCGGCGCGCUCAAUGGAAGCUUGGAAGCGUCUAACAUCUCUUGUGGCAACACUUCUACACUGCUUAUACCUGAACGUGUCGGCCAAGGGGAGGACCACACACUCCGCAUCCUGCUCUACUCGCUUAUCUUCUUUUCGAGUGUAUUUGGCAACCUACUGAUUAUCGUGGUGCUCACAUUCAACAAGCGCAUGCGCACUGUCACCAACACCUUCCUGUUGUCACUUGCCAUGAGUGACCUGAUGAUGGCCAUAUUCUGCAUGCCUUUCAACUUGAUCCCCAGCAUUCUCAAAGACUUCAUUUUUGGGGCUUUGAUGUGCAAGAUAGUGGCCUAUCUCAUGGGCACCUCAGUGAGCAUUUCCACUUUUAACCUGGUUGCCAUAGCCAUUGAGCGCUACAGUGCCAUCUGCAAGCCUCUGAAGUCACGGGCAUGGCAGACCCGUUCCCAUGCAUAUCGGGUGAUUGCUGCUACAUGGGUACUGGCCUUCAUCAUCAUGAUCCCCUACCCAAUUAUCAGUCACCUCAGACCAUUUAAACGCCCUGAUAACACCACUGCACACCAAUGCCGCCACAAGUGGCCCCUUGCAACAGCGGAGCAGACCUGGUAUGUGUUACUUCUGCUUGUGCUGUUCGCAAUUCCAGGAGUUGUUAUGAUUGUCGCUUAUGGACUGAUCUCUAGGGAACUUUAUAGAGGCAUCCAAUUUGAGACCGGCCUUAAAAAAGACUCCACUGAUGUAAAGAAUGGGCUGACUUCCUCUUUGUCUAGUAAUCCUGAUGAUGGAGACGGUUGCUAUGUUAAUGAGGUCAAACGGCAACGCUCAAUGGAGAUGUCCACCAUGUCUACAUCUACCCAGUCCAUGAAGAUUGACAGACCCCGCAGCAAUGCAUCUGGAGCCAAGCUGGAGGCCAAGAAGCGAGUCAUUCGUAUGCUGGUGGUCAUCGUUUUUUUGUUCUUUCUCUGCUGGAUGCCUCUAUACUGUGUAAACACGUGGCGGGCUUUUGAUAACGCCACCGCUGAAAGUACCCUCUCAGGGACACCCAUUGCAUUCAUCCAUUUGCUGAGUUACACCUCUGCUUGUGUCAACCCAAUAAUCUACUGCUUCAUGAAUACACGCUUCCGCAAGGCCCUGUUCGGCACUUUCUCCUGCUGCUUUGCUCCUUGCUGCCAUCAUUGCCGCCGGCGGGAACCACGUGAGAACGAGGAGGAUGUUAUGGCAACGGGGGCAUCCAUGUCCAGGUUCAGUUACACCAUAGUCAGUACCAUGGGAACCUGCUGAAGACAGUUACUACAGCAACAUAAUAUCCACAUCCUUUGUUUCCAUGCCAGUGCUAUGCGCUUAGGGAAAAUCAUUAGUAGAAACAGCCCAUAUACUGUAAUGCACCAGUCUGGAAGCUUCACCUGACUCAUGGUGCUAGGCUGAGUGUUGAACCAGGGAAAAAGGCAACAGAGGAAGACAAGUGAUGUGCCACGAUUGAGACAACACAUGAAGUUGAGGAGUCCACCAUAGGAAGAGAAACAAGAAGUUUGUUUGUCUGUUUUUAUGAAUGUACUGCUUAAUACUGGAAUCAUUAAAGCUGUGCACUAAAAGAAAGAGAUUUUCUCAAUUUUACCAAAGAUAAAGCUCUGUUUCUUUACAAAAAAGUUUUACUUUUUCUUUUUGGAUUUUGAAAACUUACUUGGACAGAACCUAUGUAUUGUGACUGAAUUGCUGGGAACUUUUCAUCUUUGAUUGAUGUAUCUUCUCUGUGUGUAGUUAAGCUAAACGAAACAAUCUGUCACUCAUGACUAGCUUUUGAGUUUGAAUACUUUAUGCUUCUCAGUUUCAGCUAAAAUAAUUGUAGAAUUUAAACUUUUACAACACAUUACAAUAAUUAUAUGUAUGAAUUAAAAAGACUUGUAUAGACCAUUAAGAUAUUUUCCUAACAUAUCAGAGAAAUUGCCCACAGAGUAUUUGUUUAACCAAACAUUUUGUUGGUGCUGGCAUCCUUUUUAAUGCUUUCUCCCUAUUCUUUUUAAUUUAAUUCUGUUACAACAGUAUUUGUUGAUAGUUGUAGUAGUAUGCAUGUGUGCACAAGUAGUUCUGCCGAGACUAUAUGAAUAGGAAUAUUGCCUACUGUGAAUCUAUUUGUCAAGCUUGGAUAGGCAGAACUGAGAGCCAAGAGCAGGCAGUCAACUCAUUUGCCAAGCACUCAAAGGUGCUGCUCAUGUAAAUGUCAAGCUUAAACAAGUAUCAUUUAAGUCAACUAGGAUGUUGCUUUUUAUUUUGUGACAUGUUUUUUUUUAUUAUUUUGUAUUGAUUGUAGAAUUAAGAGCCUGGAUCAUGUUGAGAAGCAAUUCUUUGUACUACAUGAAAGCUUAAGUCAAAGGAAAAAUCAAAGUAUGGUGUUUUGGCUGUAUAAUGCAAUGUUUGCUCAGGCAACAACUUCUUUGAUAAAAUCAAGGGGUUGGAGUAAAAAAAAAAUCUAUUUGCCUUGAGUCAGGAUGAAUAUUUUCAGCAAAAAUUAUUUUUGUUGUGCACUAGGGUACUCAUUGCACCCUAAUGCACAUUUGCUUGUAAUUAAAACUGAAAGAGUUCCUGUGUAAAUUUGGCUUUUGGUGCUCCAUGUGGUUAUUGUAAAAAAAAAAAAAAAAACACAACCACUGUAUGCAGUGUUUCAAUUAGCCACAAACAAAGCAUAAAAUUCAUAGAGUUAAGAUUAGGUGUUGUGUUUAGUUAUGUCCAGUGGAUUAAUUGCAGCAGUUGAGUGUUGUAAUUGUUAGUACAUCAAUCUCAUCAAUUGAAAUGUCAUGGUGUGAAGAAACCAUUUUGAAGAUUUAAGUCUUUGUCAUUUUUACAGUUUGUGGUCUCCAAGGCAGAAGAAGAAGAAAAAAAACGAUCUAGAAUUAGUGCAGCCAUCUUGCUGUCAAACGUCACCAAAUUCUAAAUAGUUUUUAUAAGUCCCUGCCUACCCAUUCAUCUGUACGGUACAUUAAUAGCAUUUAUAAUGAUUUGUACUAAAUGUUUAUGUUUAAUACAGACUGAUACAUUGUAUAUGGGCUUUGGUAGUUAUAUUUUGUGGGGAAAAAAUGAAUUGAUUUUGUGUUUUUGUGAGUGCCACAUCUCCAUGAAGUCUGGUCUGUCAGGUCAUGAAUUGAAUGUGAACAGUUAGGGAAUUAUUUCAGGUCCUGUUUAGGUUUACCCGGAGGCUCACUGUUGCCAGGCCACCAUUGCCUUAAGGUGUAAUGAGUGUACAGUCUUAUUAUGUCUGAGUAAAUGUUUUCAUAAAACGUCUUUAUAUAAUCAACUGUGUAUAUGUCUGACAGAAAGGACAUGUCAGAAUAAUUGAUCUGCUUCAUAUUCUGUCAUAUGAUUGCCCUCCAGAUAUUUGUGUAUACCAAAUCAAAGAUCUUUAUUUAAAAAUGUGCUGUUUCACCCCCAGUAGAAAGUCCUAAGCGUUGUUUUAAAAUAAUUAAACCUUGUGGUUUAAAAAUAAUUGUAUGUUUUUGGGAAUGUUCAAAAAUUGUUUAAAUAAAAUGUCUUUGCUGCUAACUUUGCAUAGCUUUUGGUAAUAUCUUGCCAUUUUCUUUUCUCUAAGACUGACUCCAGAUGGCACAGGUUGGACAGGGGGCUUCUGUCAUUAGUAGUAUGACUUUGGAAGAACUAGCUUUCAGUAGGAGGCCCUUCUAGCUUAUAUUUAUACACUACUGUUUCAGAGACAUAAAAGGUUUAUCUGCCAGUCAGACUUCUGCUAUAUACAUAAGUGUUUACAGUUCCCGUUUAGUCCUCAAUAGUUCUUUCUCUGAAUAAAUGUUUACAUGUAUGCAUACUGUACCAAAAUAUUCAGCAGGGCACCUACAGUUUUGUGUAAUAUCUUGUUUGUGCUAUGUAAUGUAGAGUAA